AUUGAACGCUGGCGGCAGGCCUAACACAUGCAAGUCGAGCGGAUGAAGGGAGCUUGCUCCCUGAUUUAGCGGCGGACGGGUGAGUAAUGCCUAGGAAUCUGCCUGGUAGUGGGGGAUAACGUUCCGAAAGGAACGCUAAUACCGCAUACGUCCUACGGGAGAAAGCAGGGGACCUUCGGGCCUUGCGCUAUCAGAUGAGCCUAGGUCGGAUUAGCUAGUUGGUGAGGUAAUGGCUCACCAAGGCGACGAUCCGUAACUGGUCUGAGAGGAUGAUCAGUCACACUGGAACUGAGACACGGUCCAGACUCCUACGGGAGGCAGCAGUGGGGAAUAUUGGACAAUGGGCGAAAGCCUGAUCCAGCCAUGCCGCGUGUGUGAAGAAGGUCUUCGGAUUGUAAAGCACUUUAAGUUGGGAGGAAGGGCAGUAAGUUAAUACCUCGCUGUUUUGACGUUACCGACAGAAUAAGCACCGGCUAACUUCGUGCCAGCCGCCGCCGUAAAAC
rnacentral:rRNA from 1 species